CUUUGAUACUCAGGAUCAAUGUAGCUGAGUGUUCCAACAGGCGCGGUGUCCUUAUACAUGGCAGAUAAAUCAUCUGAAUUUAGGAUUGUAGAAAGACCGACAUCACCAAUCUUGCUGACAAGGUUAUGACCAAGCAAGAUGUUUGCCGGUUUCAAGUCACGAUGGAUGAUAGGUUGCGGCNNNNNNNNNNNNNNNNNNNNNNNNNNNNNNNNNNNNNNNNNNACCAUGGGAUUGGGUCAUUACUGUUUUUCUGGAGUAGUCUGUCCUCCAAGUUUCCAUUUUCCAUGUAUUCGUACACAAGGCAUCCGUGAUCAGGACAUGCACCAAGAAGAAGAAGCAAGUUUGGAUGAUGAAUUCUGCUCAAUAUCUCUAACUGGAAGCAAAGAGAAGAUAUUAGUCUUGUUAUGUAGUUCAAAUCCAGUCUCAUACUCAUUAAUAGAUGAAAAUUAAAGCAUUAUAUAAUUUUUUUGUCUUACGAUAUGGAACAAUGCUUACCUCUUGCUGGAAUUGCUUGCUUUGGCAGUUUCCAUUAGAGUGAAGAACUUUAACAGCAACAGUUGUGUAAUGCAAAGUGCACUUAUACACUACUCCAUAUGCACCCAUUCCGAUUCUCAGAUCUUCAGAGAAAGACGAAGUAGCUGAAACUAUUUCAUCCCACGUAAAGAUUCGGUACGGAGGUGUGGAACCACUCAGAGCACCCUCAAGCUUUUCUUUCUCUUUGGCAGCAUGAAUAGCUUUUAACUCGGCUUCUUUUCUUUCUGCAGCUUCUCUUCCAGCACGAUGUUUCAGAUAUUCGGCUUCUCUUGCUGCAGCUUCAUAUUUCUCUCUUUCUUGAUUUGCUAAUUCCUCGGCCAUCUCCUCGUUAGCAACAAUCUCCUUCAUUUUCAUGGAUUCUUCUAAUCUUCUCUUGUUUAGUUCAUUCAGCUGCUCAAAGCAAUAAGAGAUGUUGUUUCUCUUGGGUACAGUUCAAGGGUAAUCUUAUAAACUGAUAUCGUAGUAUUUAAACACAAGUUGCACUAUGAAACCCUAAGCUUGAUUAAUAGAAAGGUUCAGGCAUACAGAAAGAGAAUUCGUCCUCUAAUCACUAACAUAGCGUAUUAUAUCUCGAUGACAGCUGAUAAGAAAGAGACAUUACCUUUUGUGAUGCAUCAAUGUUCUCACUUUGAGCUACUGCAUGCAUUCCUUGUGCAUGUCUUAGUUCAAGUCUCAACUUUUCCAGCUCAAGGUUAUAAUUUUCCUGAUUAUAAAAGACGACAAAGGAAGUUAAAUUGCAAAAUGAAGUUGAAUCUAACAAGAAUUUGGAAAUAUGUACUAUUUCAUCAAGUCAAAAGAAAAGAGAAUUCAUCUUACCUGUCUAUUUGGUUUUGGAGGUUUAGUACCUUGUGGCACAUACUUGGCAUGAUUUUGACCGUAAAUGGAAGAUUCAGUAUCUGAAAUGCUUCCGCCACUAGAGGCCUGGGUUAGAGCAUGAUCAAUAUCUGAACUUAUAGCAUCAUUCUUUCUCCCAAGAUCUAGAGACUGGCCUCUAAAAUGAUUAGUUUCACUUAAAUUAGGACUCGUGCUUAGAAGGGUCUGAUCUAUACUCGAGAGAGCUUUAUGUCGUCGUGUUGUCAGGGGAUAGGAAUGUAAAGCAGCAGAUGAUGCAACUGAGCCAAAAUCUGAUAUACAUUCAAACAUUGAUUAUUCUACACAACAAAGUCAGAUUUGACGUUUUUUAUGCAAUACUCGCUAAAUUUCCUGCAAUCGAUAAGCAGAUCUUUAAAACCAAGCAUACUAGAAUUGAAAUCUGUGACAUGCUAGUGCCAAGAAACUUCAUUCUUCCUACAAGGUAUUUUAUUCCGUACCAUACUGUAAAUCUUAGCGUUUAAACCAUAGUACUGCAAAAUUUGCUAUCUGUUACCUGUCUGAGAGGUGGAAGUGUAGUUCGAUGAGCUGCUCGAUGAAAAACUGGUUUCACUGGUAUCAUCUACAAUGUUUCCUUCAGUCUGCAUGUCUGACUGCCGUAUGGACAAUUUUCCUUUCGAAACAGCAUAAACUGUACAAAAUCUUGGAGUGCGUACUGAUAUUUUUGCAGACAUACCCUUCUGUUUGCUGAAAUGCAUUGUUUAAAAGUAGUAGGAUCAGAUAAAGACCAUAAAAAAAUUCAAUGAUAGAGAAGUGAAUGUAAAUAAAAGAUAACCUAAUAAAAUUCAAAUGUGCACAUAUCGGUAGCCUAAUACUUAGCAUGGCUAUCCAGACAUAGAUCACACCCAAGACUAGACAUCUNNNNNNNNNNNNNNNNNNNNNNNNNNNNNNNNNNNNNNNNNNNNNNNNNNNNNNNNNNNNNNNNNNNNNNNNNNNNNNNNNNNAUUUGAAUAAAUACCUUUUAAAUAUACCAGAAGAUGAAGCUCCAAGGACAAGUUUGGUAAUAACAUUCUUAGAUACUUCCUCUGCUACUGCAGUUGCUACAUCAUCUGAUUCAAUCACUACAACAUCUACAUGCACCUGCACAAACAAUAGUAUAACAAUGUCGAUCCAAUAUACUGUAAUACACUAAUUAUUGUAAUUAAUCUACAUGAAAAACAAUACCUACCUUUCUCUGCUCACACAAACUCUUAAAAGGUAGAAGCAUUUGAUUUGUUUGCCACUCAACUUCCCUUCUGAAAGCAUUUGCUACAUCAUUUCGUACUUGUGAAAUAGGAAGCACAUCUCCCACUGGAAGCACAGAAACGUUGAAUUAUCAUAACAAUAUGUUAAUCAUAUUUUCUUUGUUUGAGAGUGUUAUAAAAAGAUACGAAAAACACAAAUGGAGAAUACACAAUAUUUGACUGCAGUCCAGUUUACAAGAUUACCCCUGAACCGAACCCAACAUAAACCCUUAAAAUUAAGAACACUAUAAAAUAGCAACAUAAUAACACAUAUUAUAUAUAUCUUACUUGGUGUAGGAACUCCAUUUAUAACAGCUCUAACAUGAAUUAGCUUGAAGAUACUUAUCCCUUCAUGAACAAAUUUAUCAAGUGCCCAUUGGACAACAUAUUUGCUUUUCUUAUUACCCUUGAUUGCUAGACCAACAACUGAAGUUUUAUUAUUUUCAUCUGCCUCUUGAACCCUAUCCAUCUCUCUUUGUUAACUUGUUGGUUCCUAUGGAAGGACAAUUAUCCAGAGUUCAGCCGACAGGUAAGUAAAGUCUGACCAAUGAUUGUCAAGUUCUCAAGUUCGGAUUAAAAUCAGCUAUAAAGUUAAGAUUUGAGAGUAUAUGAAGAAAUUAGUAUUAGGGAUUAUGGGAAGAUUUAAAAAAAAAAUCAAGAAAAAAAUCACAAUUAGUGGAACAAAUAAAGAGUCAAAUCAAGGACAAGUUCCAAGAUUCAUAUUCAAAUAGUUGAAUUUCAUAAGGUCAAACUAUAUAUAUAUUCAACUAGACAAGUAGAUGAACAUAGGAACAAAGAGAGUAGGAAAGAUUCAGAAACAAUAACAAACUUAACAGAUUAUUAACUAACCAAUUAAACUAACUUUGAAUUCUUCAUUGCUUCAAAUCUUAGCAUGCUAAUAUAGUCAUGUUUCAGUUUAAAUACACACAAGAAAAGAAAGGAAAAAAAAAAAUACAAUAACUACAUUAACAGAUUUAUAAACUAACCAAUGAAACCAACUUACUUUGAACUUGUUGAGUGGUUGGCUCAAAAUCUUAGUUAGAAAAGAAGAUAAUCUUAUAUUUCCCACACUUUUUUGUCCUGAAGCUUCAAAUAAAAACACUAAUAACUGGAUACUCCAAAAUCUCUCAUAGAAGUUAUGUUUGUCUUACUACAAUUUUAAUUUAAAAUGAUUAAACAUUUAUAUCUGAUAACCUUUUUUUUCUUGUACGUAAUUAAAAUAAUAAAUAUCAUUUGAAAUUUAUAGAUAUCACGGAUUUAAAUCCACGACAUUAUCUCGGUUAUUUGACAUAAUGAAUUUAAUAUUUAUCAGUUGAAUUAGGACUUUUAUAUAAUUAUUAGUAUUAUUUUUGAAACACAUUUUUUAGGAGGAUUUAAAAUGACGGUUUAGUCCUUUUGAUGGAUGUGAAAUGUUGCUUUCUGGUAAUUAAUGAGGACAACUAAUAAACAAUCCAUUCAAGCAAUUAAAUAAUUAAAAAAUACUAUAAAUAAAAGAAGAAAGUGUCAAUAUCAGUGUAAAUUGGAUUUUUUUGGGAUACAAAUGUAAAUUCAACUUUAGUUUAAGGAUUAGUAACUAACUAACUAACAAUAACAAUGUCAAAUUCAAAUCUAUGAUUCAAGUAGUUAACUGACAUGUCAUGUCUACACACUAUUCAGUCAUAGAGCCAGCCCAUAGAUAGUGACAACUUUAUCAUAUAUGUAGUGAAUGUUGGAUUGUUAUUUAUCACUGUGUUUUUUGGAUGUAUUAUAUUAUUUUUCUAGAACUCAUGGACUUGAAUAUAUUGUUAAACUUAAACACAUGGGAUAUUCAUAUAUUUAUUUGAAUUUAUAUUAUUUGUUAAACUCAUGGGAACAAAGACAUAUAUUUAAUAAAAAUGACAGGAAUAUUUCUAGACAAAAUUUUUAAAUUAAGAAUGAGAACAAUAUUUCAAUAUAAAUAAUACAAGCAAAGAAAUAUGUACAAGUCUAGAGAAAUUCAAAAUCAGGUGAGCAAACUUGUUAAAAGUUAAACGGAGAACUGGCAUUUCCUUUAGUGAGCGACUCGUUGAAUGCACUUCGCGCCUUUGAUGAUACGAAGAUUGUUCCAUAGGAUUCGCAGAAUAGAUGGUCGAAUUACAUGCAUCUUGGUCUUAAUUACUUUAAAGUGGUCUCAUAUCUUAUGUGAAGGGAACCCGUGUGCGGAUAAACUUGUAAAUUUAGGUCAUGCUUACACACAAAUGAGGUGGUGGAAUUCUCUACUCACAACUCUCGGGAUGAUUUUUUUACGUGAUAAAUUGUGACUCCCUCAAUACUGUACCACUUGUUGUAUUUCCUCUUGUUUCUUUGGGAUAAGGCCUAGUCUUCCGUUGAAAUAAAUUGUAAAAAAAUAGUAGAUGUUUUUAAAAAUAUCCGCUAUCUAAAUAGCUGACAACCAAAAGAAAGAAAUCCACUCGAUUUCUACCGUAUCAAGCGACAUGGGCCACUUGGAUGAUAAUUGAUUUUUUUGAUACUAUAUAUUUUUUUGAUACAUGGAUGAUAAUUGAUAAACGUAGCAACUAGUUGGAGCUCUUUAUGGCAUUAUGGUACUUCCUCUAAUUCUACAUACAGGUAUAUAUCCUUGAAAUAUUCCCUCUUUAUCACAUUAUUUUUUUGAAUUAAUCAAAAUUUCUUUUGAAUAAUAUGUAAGUUUUGAAUAUAUCUUUUUAUUUUUUUUGAAUUAAUCAAAAUUUUCUUUUGAAUAAUAUAUAAGUUUUGAAUAUACAGUAUAAUUUUAAUUUUUAUUGACCAACUCAUCUAUUUAAGAUAGCAACAAUAAAUUUGUUCAAGUAGUAAAAAUUUUGGAUCGUUUAAGAUAGUCAAGAGUUCGAUUCGUAAAAUAUGUGUAUGAAAAAAAAAGUCCGACGAAGAUAUAAACUUCAUAUAUCAUAGAUCCUAAAAAAAUGUAGGCAUCAGAUAAUGGAAAAAGUAAUAGUAUCAUUAGUAUGCUGACAAGACAAGACAAAUAAAAAGUAAUUGAUACUGUAUAACAUUAAAAUUUGAAAGAUAACUAGAAAAAACACUCCACAAAAAUUGACAACUAAAAGAAAGAUAAAGUUAGUGACUAAAAUGCUGAUGAAUAAAAAGUAAUUGAUAUAACAUUAAUUAAAGUUUAAAAAUGAAAGAUAACUACAAAAGAAGCUAAAAAAUUGACAACUAUAGAAAAGAUAAAUUUAGUGACUAAAAAAAAUAUAAAGUUAUUGAUUUGUUUGAUAAUAAAAAUAUCAGCACAAAAUAAACAAAUCACACAUACAGUCACACAGACAUCCUGAUUUGUUAGACAGCUGAACAAAUUUGAACUAAAAGUUAGAUAAUUUAAAACAAACAAAGAUAUUAAAGUAACAACUACUAAUAUACUAACCUUUGUCUAUCAAAAAAAUGUUAGUUUGAAUUUGAUUAAUCAAUUAAUAUACAAACUGUAAUACAUAUUACAUACAAAAUAAGACAAUAGAAUCAAAUUUAUCUACAAUGAAAAUUCAAUUUCCCUAACCAAAAUCUGCAACCUACACACUGAAUUUUAAGCCAAGCUACAUUAGACAAACUAACUAUUUAACUCAACAAUAUCAACAUUAAAAAAAAGAUAAUGUAGUAUCAUAUUUCUUUGGAUUUCCAUUCCAAAAUUGCUGAUAGAAGUGUGUAAUUAGGAAUUAGAAUCUUAUGAGGUAAAGCCAUGUUUGUCAUUGGUGAUUUUUCAUUCUCUUUAAGCCAUUUUUCAAUUGCUUUUCGAUCGUAUGUAUAUCCAUCUGCGGCAACACAAGGAUCGUCCAUCACAUCCUAAACCAAAUCAAAGAAAGCAUAAUGAGAAUCUUCAAAAACAUUAACAACAUAAGAAGAUUGUCGAAAGCAAUGUAUAUCUUAUAUCUCAAGCCAUUAUAGAAAAGGAGUAUUUGACUACCUGGAGUAUAGGGCAGAUAAAAUGGUUUGGAGCUUUGGGUUUAAUAGUAACCAUUGAAGCGGAAUAAUGAGCCCUAUCGGCAACUUCUUUUAACUUCUCCAAUGUAGGAAGCACGUGAUCUAACAAAUCAGGUCGGUCUCUACGCCGAAGCUCCGCACAACUCAAAGCUAAUCUAGCUAAGUCUAAUGUCUCUUGAAAUGGCCAUGAUCCUGCCUUUGUAUCUAAUAUAUCUGUUAAGUUACCGUCCUCAAUUGCUGUUUCAACCACAUGAGUAAUUGCUGUUGCUGGUUUUGCUGUCAACAACUGUAACAUCACUAAUCCGAAAGCAUAAACAUCAGAUUUCGUAGAUAUUAAACCACUCCUUUGAUACUCAGGAUCGAUGUAGCUGAGUGUUCCAACAGGCGCCGUGUCUUUAUACAUGGUAGAUAAAUCGUCUGAAGUGAGAAUCGUAGAAAGACCAAUAUCACCAAUCUUGCUGACAAGGUUACCACCGAGCAAGAUGUUUGCAGGUUUCAAGUCACGAUGGAUGAUAGGUUGUGGCUUUGAGCUGUGAAGAAAGGAAAGAGCUGAUGCAAUUUCCCAAGCUAUUCGAAACCUAUCAAACCAUGGGAUUGGGAUGGUACUGUUUUUCUGAAAUAGUCUAUCCUCCAAGCUACCAUUUUCCAUGUAUUCGU
rnacentral:lncRNA from 1 species